rnacentral:lncRNA from 1 species
AAUGGAAAUAUCCACUUGUACAUGUUCCUGUAGAUAGCGGAAUUGCAGCUGCAGCAUCCAGGGAAGUGCCUAAGCAUGGGGAAGAUCCUUCUCAAGAGUCAAGCCAUAGUAGCACUGAAGAGUCCCACAAAGGCAAGCCUUCUAGACAACACCAAGGUACCAUUGGGCCUUAUAGGCAAUGAGGAGCCUUCUGGUCAUGAAGGUGUUACGAUGCAAGAGUAGGAGAGAUCCCUGAUUUAAGCAGUGAUGAGCAGCCCUCAAGCUAUCAAAGUGAGCAAGAAUACUCUUUUAGUGAAAGCGAGAAGGAGGCCUCUGACCAUGAAAGUAAUCUGGAGCCUCUUGACUUAGAAAGUAUUGAUGACAGUGUAAACGAUCCUGAUGUAUACAUAGAGAAAUCUGUAUAUGUGGAAAUCUUGUGAAUUUGCUAUUUUGGCUAUUAUAUGACAUUUAGCCAUAGUUUGACUGAUAUAUUGUUGAGCUUACAAACUGUAACAGCCAAGAUUCUUACUUGCCAAAUUUUACAGUUAUACACUUUGUAGAAUAAAAGUUAUCGAUACAAGAAAAUCACUUAGUUUCCUUGGGGUUUUAAUGUUUUCUAUGUAGAGGAUUAAAGAUUUUUAUGUGAGAAUGAAUGUGGAUAUACCAGCCACUUUUUCCAAGGGCUGUACAGUUAAAAUUGUGUUUAUUCCGAUGAAAUUGUAUUCUCAAAUUA